rnacentral:RNase_P_RNA from 1 species
UAUGUCUCCACUGUUACGUUUCAGCCAAAUUCGAGCCGUAGGAAAAAUCUGAGGCAAGAGCCAAUAACCACCCCUGCGGGGCAUCACCUGACUCAGGUGAGCGAAUGAACAGAAAAUACAGGUCAGUGGGAGCGUUUGUCACAGGAGAAGCCAGGCGUUUCUCAGCACGUCUGUUGGAUGUGACGCUGAUAUGACUUGGAAUUGCUCGCGGCUGGCAGGUGAGAGCGAUGUAUGAGGUGGGGCACAGCUCCAGAACCCAAUUCAGACUACUUUAUUCAUA